AGGAUGAACGCUAGCGGCAGGCCUAAUACAUGCAAGUCGAACGGGUGAAUUCAGCAAUGGAUUCAUUAGUGGCGCACGGGUGCGUAACGCGUAUGCAACCUACCUUCCACUGGGGGAUAGCCUUCCGAAAGGGAGAUUAAUACCGCAUAAGAUCAUAAUUCGGCUUCGGAUAUUGAUUAAAGAUUUAUUGGUGGAAGAUGGGCAUGCGUCUGAUUAGCUAGUUGGCGGGGUAACGGCUCACCAAGGCGACGAUCA
rnacentral:rRNA from 1 species